rnacentral:lncRNA from 10 species
CUGGUAAAGCUGUGAAAGGAGACUAAGGGGCUGUGGUGGGACUAACUCCAUAGGCAUUUCCUUGAGAUUAAAUGUGUUUCUUGAGGGAUACUUUGUCCACCCACCACUGCCAAGGAGACCUUAGUCUAUACGCCAGGUUGCAAUGUCUGAAGCUUUGCUGUCCAAUAUGGUAGCCAUUGGCCACAUGUGGCUAUUGAAUGCUUGUAAAGGUAGGUGGUACAGCUGAGGAAUGGAAUUUUAAAUUUGUUUAAUUUAAAAUUUAAGACAGAGAUUCGAUUCAGUUAUUGGAAAAUGUUUUAUGUUUGAAAAAACUUAGAUGUGUGAAUCCACUUUCUCAACAGUGACCUGUAUGAAAUAUAGAUUUUUCUGGUGAAAAUUUAGUAACUGAAUUGCGAUGUUGAGAUGUACUGUAAGUGUAAAAUAUACACUGGAUUUUAAAGACCUAAUAUGAAAAAAUGUUAAAUAUUUUAUGAUUGAUUUUUAUAUUGAUAAUAUAUUGAAAUGAUAAUAGUUUGGGUAUAUUGGGUUAAAUAAAGUAAGUAUUUAAAU